ACGGAGGAUCCAAGCGUUAUCCGGAUUUAUUGGGUUUAAAGGGUGCGUAGGCGGGUCUUUAAGUCAGUGGUGAAAGUUUGCGGCUCAACCGUAAAAUUGCCAUUGAAACUGAAGACCUUGAGUACAAAUGAGGUAGGCGGAAUGUGUUGUGUAGCGGUGAAAUGCUUAGAUAUAACGCAGAACACCAAUUGCGAAGGCAGCUUACUGGGAUGUAACUGACGCUGAGGCACGAAAGCGUGGGGAUCGAACAG
rnacentral:rRNA from 1 species